rnacentral:tRNA from 1 species
GUGCCUUUAGCUCAGUUGGUUAGAGCAACGCACUUUUAAUGCGUGGGUCGGGCAUUCGAGUUGCCCAAGGCGCA